CAACUGGAUAGCUCGACGGGGCGAUAAGCGGUCUUCAUCACACUGUUUCCAGUUGUCCUUUCGUGAUG
rnacentral:ncRNA from 1 species